rnacentral:rRNA from 1 species
UACGUAGGAGACGAGCGUUGUCCGGAGUUACUGGGCGUAAAGGGCGCGUAGGCGGCCACCGCAAGUCGACUGUGAAAUCUCCGGGCUUAACUCGGAAAGGUCAGCCGAUACUGCGGGGCUAGAGUGCAGAAGGGCAACUGGAAUUCUCGGUGUAGCGGUGAAAUGCGUAGAUAUCGAGAGGAACACCUGCGGCGAAGGCGGGUGCUGGGCUGACACUGACGCUCGAUGCACGAAAGCGUGGGGAGCAAACAGG